UACCUUAUAAAAGCUCACUUCAAUCGGCCAGACCUAGAUUUUUAGGCUGAUCAGAGUUCCCCUUUGUAGUACACGUUAGAAUUUGCAUGCACACUCCCCAAACGAAUCGGACUUUCUCGACAAACAAGAAAGUCUUAUUAAAACGAACUAAAUAAGGCUAGAUUGAUUUUUUUUGCACUUGAGCGGGUUUUAUAUUGUGUUUGAACUGGAAACAAUAGACAUAAAUGCUGGAAACCACCAAAUCUGGCAACCUCAACGAAUGGCCAAGUUUUUUUUUAAAAAUGAGCGUGAGGCGCAUGCGCCAUGAUGCACAUUAUUAUGAGGGAAUUUCCACGUGACCGUUUCAAAUAAAACGCGGGCUGCAUUUUGCCACAAUGCGACAUGAAACAGCGUUCUCAUACGCAACCAUUCUGGAAUCCGGAUUUUAAAAAAAAGGGAUAAUUUCUGAUCUCCCAAGACGCCAAAUCCGCUUAGACACCCAGCCUAACGACUGAAGACUUUUCUGGAUCAGACUGAAAUCGAUUCCGUGUUGGUGCUGCCUAUUAAUUAGGCGUCCACCUGCUGAGUAUCAGCUGGUGUACCGACAGAGUAGACCGCAGGAGCGCCAUGUUUGAAGUCGCUGGGUUUAUUAUAAGAGCAACAGAAGAGGAGCGGCCGAUCGACCAUGGCGUCUCGGCGGCGGUUUGUUUGGCUACUGGCGUACCUGAACUUUCCGAGGAGGACAAUAUGGCGUGUGGAACUAGCAGCAGAUCGAUAAUGGAUAUUUUAGGUGAUCUACAAUCAAGCCUUCAAUCAACCGGAGGACCGCUUCAAGCUGACCGGGGGAUCCGCCCGACCCAACAAACUUAGGUUGGGUCAAGCAACUGUUCGAUGGCGGAUCCAGAAUGCAUCUCAGGUUCUGUUGCAGUGGGAGUUUCAUCGUGUCCUGCAGCAGCUUGAUGCAAUCAAUGAGCCGACCCGUUCGGCUUGCCCAUCUGAAGCGCCGCUGCUGGAGAAGAUUUGAGAUCAGCUUAAAAAUGGCUUCACCUGUUCAGUUGGAGUCACUCUGAGCCGAUGGAGGCCGGAAGAGAGACGCAGCGACAAUCUGCUGCUGGAAGAUCCGAGAGAAGAAGACGGGGAAUUUACUGCUGAACCGACUCGAAGUCGCUUCCGAUCCAGAUGACCCGGUGAACUACAUCUGAAUCCAGCCUGGUUCCCUUCAUCCAUCUGUCCUGGGAGCUGAAUAACCACUUUGAUUUUUUGAUUUUUUUACAGGGAUUUUCUCAGUCUGUUGAAAUGAAAUUAAGAAAACCGGAAAAGUAAAACCUUUGAGAUGAGACAGAAAAAGGGACGACUGUAAAGAUCGGGACAUUAUCCCUUAAAUUUUAUCUCCAGUGCUGAUUGUUGUCCCAAUUGUUUAAAACUACUGGCUGUUUAUUGAAUCUGGGAUGUUUUCUGGACAUAAUGUUUGACGUGAGGCCAGAUAUUAAACCUCCCAGGCACGAUAAUCAGUCAAUGUUUAUCGCAGCAUUAAAUAUCCUGGAUUAUCAUCCCUCAGUGUACUUCUGAAUUUAAAAUGAAAACAUUAGAUUGACUUAUUUUAAGGUAUCCAAGAUUUGAAUCACAGCUGUUGAAUUUGAAUACAGCAUCAAUUUUAUUCAGUAUUGAUCAGCAAGAAACUUGAUAUUGAAUAUUACUAUUCAGAACAGUGAGGAUUUUAUUAUUGAUAAAGAACUAAUUGCAUUACUGUGAAUGUUAAUUAUGCAAACUGGUGGCUUUCGAUGCACUUCCAGACUGAUUUACUUCUCUACUGUUAGACAAUGAAGGGCGACAUGUAGAUAAUGUGCAGAUUGUAAUUUACUAUCUGCACACGGUGAUGUUUUUGUUUUGUUUUGUUUUUUAGCAUCUUUAAGUUAAAAAUGUGUACUCCAAUUUCCCAGAAACACUAUUUGGCUUUAAUAUAUUAACAGAAAAAUAAAAUCUAGACAGAGUAUAUCUACAUACAGUGAAAAUGUUUUUCAGAACAUCAAACUGAUUUAGCCAGACAUUGCUGCUGCUUUUUCAUCUGGUUCAUAUUCCAUACAAAGCCUCCAGAAAUCUGAUUGUCAUUACCACACAUCUCCACUAGGUGGAGCGGUUUCACAUCUUAUCAGGUCGCUGAUCUUUAACUGUUUUCUGCUUAAAAGUAAGAGUGCUUACUGUUUUAUGUAUAAAACAUGUUUCAGCAUUUUCUUUUUAAAGUGUUAAAAAUUAGGAUUUAUAAAAAAAACACUUGUGGAUUAAAUAAAAAACUGUAGCCAGGAUUAAAUUACCAUAAUUUGACUCUUCGUUCCCUUUUAGAAGACUAAAUUUAUUGUAGCAAAACUUAAGUGAAAUUGAAUUUGUUACACAAAAUCCAGUUUAAUAAAGUUCUGUUGUCUUAAUAUGUGACUCAAAAAACGCACAAGAGUUUGCAUUUGUAUUAAAAUUUUUUGUUUAAGUUAUUAAAAGAUUAAAUUUAACACAAUUUUGGAAUGGUUUCUUAUAUGUAUUUUGUGGGAGUGGAAGAGUCAAAAAUAUUUAACUUUUAGUUAUUUCAGAUUCAAAAGUCUAAAAUGUGCAACUUGUAAACUAAGAAAUUUUCUUUUGUUUUCUAGAAAUAGAUUUUUGGUGGAAAGUAACUGUUUUUCUGUAUACAGUGUCCUUAACACACCAUUAUAUUUAACUAUUAAUAAUAUGCAUUACUUUUUAAGAUAAAUAGUGAAGAGUUUUGUUGUUUUUUGUCACCUUAAAAGCAUUUUUAACAUAAAUAACUGACUGUUUCACUGUAUAAAAGUAGGAAUGGUUUAAAAAGUUGGUUACAUCUUCAGCAUCGAUCAGGCUAACCAGGAAGUGUCCUACCGCAGCAGCCAAUCAGAAUCCAGUUCUUGUUGCCAAGCAGAGCAGAUGUUCAGAACUGAACUCUGAUUGGCUGUUCUGUCUUCCUUUCAGUGAUUCCUGAGCAGAUGAUGUCCCCGGGUCCAUAUGGUGGACCUUUGUGACUCUUGUCAACUUUAAAAGCUGCGGUCCGUCCCCCCUCCCCCUCCUGCUGCUGAAUGGGGAGUCAACGCCAUGCUGUCCUGCCUAAGCGUGCCUUUUGUUCCGCCUCCUCCGCUCACUCUCGGCUCCAGACUUUGUUUUGGGUGAAAGGAUCCGUCUCAAAUGUCCCGGUCAGCCAGCAGCAGCUGCUCCAGGACCCCGCCAUUAUUCCCCACAAAGGAGAGGCGAGGCGGCCCCUCCCACCCUGCUUUCUGCUCUUUGUGUCCAUUCAUGAGGCUGCACAAGGGCUGCCUGCAGCUUUUUCUACAGAAUGUUGCAGGAGCCUGAAGCUGAAUGUUUGGUGACCCAGUGGGACGUUGAUGCUGUAGUGACCAGUAUGACCAGUAUGACCAGCAUGCAGGUCAGAGAGACUCUGGAGUUUCAAAGAUCUGAACGUCAAACUGGAGAGGAAAAGAAAUCGCAGCGUUUGUUUGGAACAAAAGAUCUUUCAUUAAGUCUCUCCAUUCAACAGCAGCAUUUAGUUGAAUUUAGUUGUCGAUUAAACUGAGGCAAAGUAAAAGGUUUGACAGCUUAGUUGGACCAGUUAUGUAAUUACAUAAAAUAUAUUGUUAAAUUGUAAUUAAAAACCCCAGUAUCACUUACAAUGUAAAUACAUUAUGUUCUCAUCUUUUCAAAUAUUGUUGAUUGUGACCCCAGACAAAAACAUUGAGUAAAAAUGACAAAUUUAAGCUGUUGGUCGUCAAAAGUGACAAAUCUGAAGCAUGAUGGGUAAAAAAAGUUGAAUCCUCAGGAAACAAAAUAAAGAAAGAAAAGCACUUAAAUAAACUCUAUUAGCUACAGAACAGCUGAAAUGCAAAGUCAAGUUUUAGAAGAAAUGUUGUAAAAUAAUAAAAUGUGAAAUUUCAUGGGUCUGAAUUUAAUGCUGCAGGAAAAUGUUUGGUCUUUUUUAACAUCUAAAAAAAUAAAAUCUUAAAACGAUGAAAACAGAGUAAAAUAAUUAAAUUUAAUGUAG